AAUUGGCAACCAAAGUUUCUAAAGUUGGAAGUUUCUAUUCUCGGAGGUUUCCAUUUGUGAGAGUUUCUAUUCUUGGCGUUGGGCUUCUAGAUGACCCAUCCUUACCUCUUGGACAAGGCCGCACCUUCUAGCCCAAUUCAUUUGGAUCCUCACUUAAUGCCGCACCUAAACCCUAGCCCAUUGCAUAUUUCUGACUUCUAAGCCUUUGCCGCACCUAGGGUUCUAGAAUCUUUGAUUGCCUUGCCUUGCAAGGCAUUCUAGAAGGCUCAUAUUAAACCCUAGCAAACCAGCCGCACCCUAGGCCUCAUUCCCAUUAAAAAUCUGAUUGUUUAACCUAAUUUAUGAUGGAUUUGGCUUCUAAAAACCCUAACCUGAUUUACUAGGUUUUUGGGUGCCUAUAUAUACUUGUUAAACCUUUUGGCCGAACUACCACCUCCCAUAUCAUCCAUUCACUCCAGAAAAUCAUUCUAAACCCUUGCCGCUGAAGGGAAAUCUGUGAGAUUCAUGUGGGAUUUCUUAAUGACUAGCAUGCAUAUACAAUUCAAAAUUCAUAUACAUGAGCAACGGAAGCAUGUUAU
rnacentral:lncRNA from 1 species